UACGUAGGGUGCGAGCGUUAAUCGGAAUUACUGGGCGUAAAGCGUGCGCAGGCGGUUUUGUAAGCCAGAUGUGAAAGCCCCGGGCUUAACCUGGGAAUGGCAUUUGGGACUGCAAGGCUUGAGUGCGGCAGAGGAGACUGGAAUUCCUGGUGUAGCAGUGAAAUGCGUAGAUAUGUGGAGGAAUACCGAUGGCGAAGGCAGCCCCCUGGGAUAACACUGACGCUCAUGCACGAAAGCGUGGGGAGCAAACAGG
rnacentral:rRNA from 1 species